rnacentral:rRNA from 1 species
AGUGAACGCUGGCGGUAGGCCUAACACAUGCAAGUCGAACGGCAGCACAAUAAGAGCUUGCUCUUACGGGUGGCGAGUGGCGGACGGGUGAGGAAUACAUCGUAAUCUACUUUUUCGUGGGGGAUAACGUAGGGAAACUUACGCUAAUACCGCAUACGACCUACGGGUGAAAGCAGGGGAUCUUCGGACCUUGCGCGAAUGAAUGAGCCGAUGUCCGAUUAGCUAGUUGGCGGGGUAAAGGCCCACCAAGGCGACGAUCCGUAGCUGGUCUGAGAGGAUGAUCAGCCACACUGGAACUGAGACACGGUCCAGACUCCUACGGGAGGCAGCAGUGGGGAAUAUUGGACAAUGGGCGCAAGCCUGAUCCAGCCAUACCGCGUGGGUGAAGAAGGCCUUCGGGUUGUAAAGCCCUUUUGUUGGGAAAGAAAAGCAGCAGGUUAAUACCCCGCUGUUCUGACGGUACCCAAAGAAUAAGCACCGGCUAACUUCGUG